UCUGAUCAGACACAAGACCCUUUGAACUUAACUUAUGUUAAGCUGGGGCAGCUUUUAAAUUAAAAUUUUCAUUAACAUUUUUAUAAGAUAAUCCAAUAAAAUUGAAAUUUUAUCAAGUUACCAUAGGGAUAACAGCGUAAUUUUUAUUUAAAGUUCUUAUUUAAAUAUAAGUUUGCGACCUCGAUGUUGAAUUAAAUUUUCUCUUUUUCGCAAUAGAAAUAAAAGUAGGUCUGUUCGACCUUUAAAAAUUUACA
rnacentral:rRNA from 2 species